rnacentral:rRNA from 1 species
GAUGAACGCUAGCGAUAGGCCUAACACAUGCAAGUCGAGGGGCAGCACAAGGUAGCUUGCUAUCUGGGUGGCGACCGGCGCACGGGUGCGUAACGCGUAUGCAACUUGCCCUAUACAGGAGGAUAACCCGUCGAAAGACGGACUAAUACUGCGUAUGCUCACAACUUGGCAUCAAGUGGUGAGGAAAGAAAUUCGGUAUAGGAUAGGCAUGCGUCCCAUUAGCUUGUUGGUGAGGUAACGGCUCACCAAGGCAACGAUGGGUAGGGGAACUGAGAGGUUUAUCCCCCACACUGGUACUGAGACACGGAACAGACUCCUACGGGAGGCAGCAGUGAGGAAUAUUGGUCAAUGGGCGCGAGCCUGAACCAGCCAAGUCGCGUGAAGGAUGACUGUCUUAUGGAUUGUAAACUUCUUUUAUACGGGAAUAACAAGAGUCACGUGUGACUCCCUGCAUGUACCGUAUGAAUAAGCAUCGGCUAACUCCGUG